rnacentral:rRNA from 1 species
GUUUGAUCCUGGCUCAGAUUGAACGCUGGCGGCAGGCCUAACACAUGCAAGUCGAACGGUAACAGGAAGCAGCUUGCUGCUUCGCUGACGAGUGGCGGACGGGUGAGUAAUGUCUGGGAAGCUGCCUGAUGGAGGGGGAUAACUACUGGAAACGGUAGCUAAUACCGCAUAAUGUCGCAAGACCAAAGAGGGGGACCUUCGGGCCUCUUGCCAUCGGAUGUGCCCAGAUGGGAUUAGCUUGUUGGUGGGGUAACGGCUCACCAAGGCGACGAUCCCUAGCUGGUCUGAGAGGAUGACCAGCCACACUGGAACUGAGACACGGUCCAGACUCCUACGGGAGGCAGCAGUGGGGAAUAUUGCACAAUGGGCGCAAGCCUGAUGCAGCCAUGCCGCGUGUAUGAAGAAGGCCUUCGGGUUGUAAAGUACUUUCAGCGGGGAGGAAGGGAGUAAAGUUAAUACCUUUGCUCAUUGACGUUACCCGCAGAAGAAGCACCGGCUAACUCCGUGCCAGCAGCCGCGGUAAUACGGAGGGUGCAAGCGUUAAUCGGAAUUACUGGGCGUAAAGCGCACGCAGGCGGUUUGUUAAGUCAGAUGUGAAAUCCCCGGGCUCAACCUGGGAACUGCAUCUGAUACUGGCAAGCUUGAGUCUCGUAGAGGGGGGUAGAAUUCCAGGUGUAGCGGUGAAAUGCGUAGAGAUCUGGAGGAAUACCCGGUGGCGAAGGCGGCCCCCUGGACGAAGACUGACGCUCAGGUGCGAAAGCGUGGGGAGCAAACAGGAUUAGAUACCCUGGUAGUCCACGCCGUAAACGAUGUCGACUUGGAGGUUGUGCCCUUGAGGCGUGGCUUCCGGAGCUAACGCGUUAAGUCGACCGCCUGGGGAGUACGGCCGCAAGGUUAAAACUCAAAUGAAUUGACGGGGGCCCGCACAAGCGGUGGAGCAUGUGGUUUAAUUCGAUGCAACGCGAAGAACCUUACCUGGUCUUGACAUCCACGGAAGUUUUCAGAGAUGAGAAUGUGCCUUCGGGAACCGUGAGACAGGUGCUGCAUGGCUGUCGUCAGCUCGUGUUGUGAAAUGUUGGGUUAAGUCCCGCAACGAGCGCAACCCUUAUCCUUUGUUGCCAGCGGUCCGGCCGGGAACUCAAAGGAGACUGCCAGUGAUAAACUGGAGGAAGGUGGGGAUGACGUCAAGUCAUCAUGGCCCUUACGACCAGGGCUACACACGUGCUACAAUGGCGCAUACAAAGAGAAGCGACCUCGCGAGAGCAAGCGGACCUCAUAAAGUGCGUCGUAGUCCGGAUUGGAGUCUGCAACUCGACUCCAUGAAGUCGGAAUCGCUAGUAAUCGUGGAUCAGAAUGCCACGGUGAAUACGUUCCCGGGCCUUGUACACACCGCCCGUCACACCAUGGGAGUGGGUUGCAAAAGAAGUAGGUAGCUUAACCUUCGGGAGGGCGCUUACCACUUUGUGAUUCAUGACUGGGGUGAAGUCGUAACAAGGUA